UUUCUCUAGUUGCAUCUAGUUUUCCUCUGCCUGCUUUUUUAUGUUACCUAUUUCCUUUGCAACAAAACAGGAGGUGUCACUAAGAACCACAGCAACAAGAAGUGUUAUCUCUGAGCUUCUUCAGUUUGCUACUUGGAACUGAAGUCAGAGCUGCCCUGAGUGCUACCAAAAAGCCUGGCCAACUGGGGAGAAAGGGAAGGAGCAUUGUUAUGUUUUUCCAGGUUUUCCUCAUGUGACAGAAACCCUACUGAGGACACCUUUCUUCACAUAUUGUCGGAGAUGUGAGCUGUUGCCAUGUUUCUGUGGAUUGUGGCAGUUCCCACCUUGUGCACUGCAAGUGAGACACAAGAGCCUGGGUGCUCACAGCUGACUGCUUCUCACAUUUAGAGGCAGCACAGUGCCAAAUAAACUGUUUCUGCCCCGGGCUGGGAUUACA
rnacentral:lncRNA from 1 species